AUUCCUGUAUGAGGAUAUCUUCCUGUAAAUCUUCUUCGUUUAUAAAUUAGAUGCACCAUGUAUUCAAGCAUGGCAUCAGUUAAGCUGUCAUGCACUGAGAACUUUGCUGGCCCAGUUCUGAUACAAGUGUCCAAACAGGAGAGCAGGGGGAAGCAGACAGCCAGACCACAUCGAUCCGGGCUGCAGGAUGUGUUUAGUGAAAAAUCUAUAGAGCUCAGCUUAGGGUGUCAGCUGUCAGUCUGCAGAGCAUCUGUCAGAGGAGUAUUUGCUUCACUGCUGCUGAAUAACCCACUAUGCUAGUAUGAGACUAUAAUGUUGACUGGAAAGAUGAACAGUACCUCAAAGGUCAAGAGCUGUAGGCUGAAAUACAGCUAAUGAUUUCUCAAGGAUAAUUUGCAGAAAGAUUUGAAGAGAACAUGCUGGAAGGUUGAAAAGAGGAAUUUUAAUGGUGCCUUAUAAAUUCUUCUUCAGCCAAAACUGGCUCCAGGUGAGCUUAAGAUGAAGCUUUCUACACAUUUCCCAACAUAAUGUCUUACUUCCUUAAUGUUAUACCUGACCUUAGAAAUGUUCGUUUUCUUUUCUGUGUUCUUACUGAAAAGCUUAUAACAUAUUAUUCUGUAAACAAAUACACCAGUUUUUUGGCAAUUGUGUUUCCCAGUCCUUUAGGGAAACUUGAGGACCUAGUAAUUAUCCCUCUGUAUUGCUUGUCAUGACUGUAUAGUAUGUAGUGCAAUAAAAUAUAGACAGGUUUUUAAAUCCACCUUCUUACAUCUUAGAAAAAAAGUCAUGAAUGAAAAGAUUUCUUCUAUGUCAUCUUUCAGUAACAGAAAAACAUAUCUGGUUAAUAAAUGUUGCUGCUGUAACAAGGACAAGGUCUAGAACUU